rnacentral:rRNA from 1 species
UACGGGAGGCAGCGGUGGGGAAUAUUGCACAAUGGGCGCAAGCCUGAUGCAGCCAUGCCGCGUGUAUGAAGAAGGCCUUCGGGUUGUAAAGUACUUUCAGUCGUGAGGAGGUGUUAAGGUUAAUAACCUUAGCAAUUGACGUUAGCGACAGAAGAAGCACCGGCUAACUCCGUGCCAGCAGCCGCGGUAAUACGGAGGGUGCGAGCGUUAAUCGGAAUUACUGGGCGUAAAGGGCACGCAGGCGGUUAAUUAAGUUGGAUGUGAAAUCCCCGGGCUUAACCUGGGAAUGGCAUUCAAGCUGGUUAGCUAGAGUCUUGUAGAGGGGGUAGAAUUCCAUGUGUAGCGGUGAAAUGCGUAGAGAUGUGGAGGAAUACCGGUGGCGAAGGCGGCCCCUGGACAAAGACUGACGCUCAUGUGCGAAAGCGUGGGGAGCAAACAGGGAUUAGAUACC